rnacentral:rRNA from 1 species
UUCUUCUUGUUGUUUAUAGGAAGUCUGACCUGCCCAGUGAAUAUUUGUUUUAACGGCCGCGGUAUUCUGACCGUGCAAAGGUAGCAUAAUAAUUAGUCUUUUAAUAGGGGGCUGGUAUGAAUGGUUUGACGAGGUGCUAACUGUCUCAAUUAAUUUAUUAAAAUUUAAUUUUUUAGUCAAAAAGCUAAAAUAAUCUUGGAAGACGAGAAGACCCUAUAGAGCUUUAUAAUACUAUAAUUAAUCUUAUUUUGUUUUAUUUUUUUGGUUAUUUUUUUUAUUAUUUUGUUGGGGUGACAAAAAUAUAUAAUUAACUUUUUUAUUUAUUUAACACUAAUGCGUGAAUUUUUAGAUCCAUUUUUAUUGAUUGUUAGAUUAAGUUACCUUAGGGAUAACAGCGUAAUCUUCUUUCAGAGUUCGAAUUUACAAGAAGGCUUGCGACCUCGAUGUUGGAUUAAGAUUAUAAUUGGGUGUAGCCGCUCAUUUUAUGGGUCUGUUCGACCCUUAAAUUCUUACAUGAUCUGAGUUCAAACCGG